UCCUGUAAAAGCUGCGGACUGAAACGCAUGAGGCCUUCCUUGGGGGUUGACUGGAGGAGUCUCAUCUCGCAGCGCGUACGGCGGCGGCGGAGAGGCAGCGGCCGCGCCGACCUCGACUCGGUCAGUCAGCAAGGAGGCACAACACAGGUGCUGCGCAACAGAAAGCCACGCAGCAGUCAGCAGGGUUGCUGCGCUGCAUUUUUGUGCCCUCAGUGACAAGAAGAAGAAGAAGGAGGAGGAAGAGGAAGAAGUAGUUUCGGUAGAGAAGCGCUGUGGGGCACGGGCCUGCGUCGGGACAGGGAAACCUACCUGACGGGAGGCGGACGGAAAGCCAUGUGUUGCACAGAAUCCAUCUGCAUGUGUUGAACAACCAACAAACCUGCAUCCAACCCGCGACCAUCAAACCAUCAUCACCAGAGCGCCACCACAAAUGGCAGACACGGUGCACCUACGAGACUCAAACCCUUCAGCAAACGCCAUCAAGAGCUCUCUGCAAAGCAGUUGAUUCUGGAGUUCAGGCUUUCAUUGCCCUCUGCACAAAACCUGCAUGAAUGAUGCAGCAGAAGGAGGAUCUGUGAGCAGA